CUGCCGUUGAAUCGAGUGGUAGCUGGAAGCUGUGCGCCAGAGAUCCAAGGAUGGAGAGCCGAUAGCUCUGCAGCCAGCACUGUUACCGUCUAUUUGCAGCUCAACUUGUUCCUCAGUGAGGAGCUUUGUACGAGCUUUUGGGUCUGUUCUAGAAAGUGCUCUCCGUCAUUGUGGUUUUGUUAAUCCACUGCACGAUCGCCAUUUCCUGGGUUGCAAAUAGUGGGGUUGGAUCAGAGCGAGCACUGGUGUGAUCGAUUGCGGUGUAGCAUUGUGGCAGUGUGCUAGAACACACCAGGAAAAUAGCUGACUAGAAAACACAAAUCAUGGCGGACCAUGAAGAGAAGGAUGUCGUGGCUUUGACACAGAACGUUGGGGAAGUGACCAUUGAAGAUCGAGCAUCGGAUAAGCCUGCAGAGGAGGAAGACAAGACCAAGGAGGGUGGAGUGAUGAGCUUCAUCGACGGGUCAGACCAUCGGUGAACUGUUAAGUUGGGGCACUCCCGACGCUGACAUUGCAGGGUUCAAUGUGCUCAACAUUGACACGAAGCACGCUGAGGUAUUCAUAGAUGUGAAGAUCACGAACCCUAAUCCCAUCCCCAUUCCUCUGAUCGACAUCAUCUAUGAAAUCUCGAGUGAAGGUAGGAAGCUCUGCUCUGGCACCAUCCCUGACGCUGGAACGAUUCAUGCCCACAGCUCCGAGAUUGUGAAGAUCCCGCUUACUCUGAUCUAUAAAGAUAUCGUCGACACAUUAAUCGACAUUUAACCUGGUCAAGUGCUGCCCUAUGUUUGCAAGGUAACCCUGUUGAUUGAUGUUCCGGUGAUUGGAAGGAUCACUCUUCCGUUGGAGGAGAAGGGAGAGAUUCUCGUUCCUCACAAGCCAGAUGUAGACUUGGAUUACAUUGACUGGGACCACCUUUCGCUGGAAGAGACCUCCGCUACGUUGCAUUUGACUCUCAAGAACAUGAACAAAUUCGACAUUGAUACCAUUUUUUCUUUUCUUUUCUCUUCAUUUCCUGUAUCCUUUAUCCGUCAAAUUUUGAGCACUUUCGAUUGUUCGACCCCCCGAUUGCGAAAGCUGAGUGUGACACCUUCAGUGACGGGGGGCAAUUUUCUGUCAUGAAUUCUCCUUUCAGGAAUAAAUUCUUUCGUAUACGAUCUGCAGCUUGCAGACCUUUCUAUUGGAAAGGCCAGACUUUGGGAGGCAACUACGGUGAAGGGUUAAGGCUCUGGUACCUUGCAGGUGCCUAUUACCUUUCGACCCAAGGACUUCGGCGGUGCUCUGUGGGACAUCCUCAGAGGGAGAGGCACUGGGUACGCCAUGGAGGGAUCCGUCGGCGUCGACACCCCAUUCGGACCCAUGCAUCUGCUGUUCAGCAAGUCCGGUGAGACUGCACUGAAGGGCAAAGACGACGAUGAGAUUGAAAAGGUGGAGGCUUUAAGAUCCAAGUUCCUCAUCUCCAGCGACCAUUCUACAGGGAGGUACAUGUCUCGCCAACUUGGUGAAGCAACAAAUCUGGGCGCUUUGAAACAAACUGUGGGGACUUUCUUUCACUAAUCCUCUGCCAUUACUCUGCGCACUUCUUGUGCUUAGAUACAAUGUAGCUCCGUUUAUUUCCACUUGAUGCUAACGAAGUCGGAUGAUGUGGGCACCGAACGAUCAAGUAUGUCAUGUUGUUCCAAACUGUGGGUAUUCAAUUUCGACGCUGAAAUUGCCAUCUGGGAAUGGCUCAGGGUGAAAACAGGCUAGGCCUUUCUAAACAACUUUCUGUUACGGUUUCCUUGGACUCCAUGAUUCUGAUCCAUCAGGUAGUUGUCCAUGACCACCGCAAGUCUUAGUUUUCUUCUUUCAAUCUUUUUGUCAAUCUACUGGAGUUCAUUCCACUUCCAGUUUUCGGACCCGAUCUUA